rnacentral:rRNA from 1 species
UACGAAGGGUGCGAGCGUUAAUCGGAAUUACUGGGCGUAAAGCGCGUGUAGGCGGUUGGUUAAGUCAGAUGUGAAAGCCCCGGGCUCAACCUGGGAACGGCAUUUGAUACUGGCUGACUCGAAUGUGGUAGAGGGAGGCGGAAUUCCCGGUGUAGCGGUGAAAUGCGUAGAGAUCGGGAAGAACACCAAUGGCGAAGGCAGCCUCCUGGGCCAACAUUGACGCUGAGACGCGAAAGCGUGGGGAGCAAACAGG